rnacentral:rRNA from 1 species
AGAGUUUGAUCAUGGCUCAGAUUGAACGCUGGCGGCAUGGCUAAAACAUGCAAGUCGAACGAGCCCGCAAGGGCAAGUGGCGAAAGGGUUAGUAAUACGAUCGAACGUACCCCGAGGUGGAGGAUAGCCGUGGGAAACUGCGGGUAAUACUCCAUGAUCUCUCCGGAGCAAAGCUUUUGCGCCUUGGGAGCGGCGAUCGUCCUAUCAGGUAGUUGGCGGGGUAAAGGCCCACCAAGCCGAAGACGGGUAGCGGGUGUGAGAGCACGGCCCGCAACAUCGGAACUGAGACACUGUCCGGACUCCUACGGGAGGCUGCAGUAACGAAUCUUCCGCAAUGGGCGCAAGCCUGACGGAGCAAUGCCGCGUGCGGGAUGAAGUAUCUAUGGUAUGUAAACCGCUGUCAGGGGAUAAAAACAAUGAUUGUCCCCAGAGGAAGUGGCGACUAACUCUGUGCCAGCCGCCGCGGUAAUAC